rnacentral:rRNA from 1 species
GCACCGGCGAUGUUUCAUUUCAAAUUUUCUGCCCUAUCAACUUUCGACGGUAGGGUAGUGGCCUACCGUGGUGGUAACGGGUGACGGAGGAUUAGGGUUCGAUUCCGGAGAGGGAGCCUGAGAAACGGCUACCACAUCCAAGGAAGGCAGCAGGCGCGCAAAUUACCCAAAUCCCAACUCGGGGAGGUAGUGACAAGAAAUAACGAUGCUCCGGCCUCACGGUCGGGUAAUCGGAAUGAGAACAAUUUAAAUCCCUUAUCGAGGAUCAAUUGGAGGGCAAGUCUGGUGCCAGCAGCCGCGGUAAUUCCAGCUCCAAUAGCGUAUAUUUAAGUUGCUGCGGUUAAAAAGCUCGUAGUCGGAUUUCGGGUGGCGCCUACCGGUCCGCCUUUGGUGAGUACUGGUAGGUGCCACCUUUCUGCCGAGGACGGGGUACUGGGCUUAACUGUCUGGGCCCCGGAGUCGGCGAUGUCACUUUGAGUAAAUUAGGGUGUUCAAAGCAGGCUUAUGCUCUGUAUACACUAGCAUGGGAUGACACGAUAGGACUUCGGUUUAUCUUGUCGGUCUGUAGAUCGGAGUAAUGAUUAAGAGGGACAGUCGGGGGCAUUCGUAUUUCGUAGUCAGAGGUGAAAUUCUUGGAUUUACGGAAGACGAACUUCUGCGAAAGCAUUUGCCAAGGAUGUUUUCAUUGAUCAAGAACGAAAGUCGGGGGCUCGAAGACGAUUAGAUACCGUCGUAGUCUCGACCAUAAACGAUG